CUUCUUCGACUUGUUGAGGACAAAUGAAGUGAAUGUGUGCAUCAACAGCGCCAGCAGUUAGAAUCUGCCCUUCGCCAGCAAUAACUUCUGUCCCUGGGCCGACAUUAAUUGUGAUACCUUCUUGUGUAUCAGGAUUGCCAGCUUUACCAAUUGCCCAAAUACGACCAUUUUUUAUCGCCACAUCAGCUUUAACUAUACCCCAAUGAUCAAGAACGAGCGCGUUAGUAAUAACGGUAUUGGCGACUUCAUCAGAUAUAGCCUGACUUUGCCCCAUACCAUCACGAAUG
rnacentral:sRNA from 1 species